rnacentral:rRNA from 1 species
AUUGAACGCUGGCGGCAUGCCUUACACAUGCAAGUCGAACGGCAGCACGGGGCAACCUGGUGGCGAGUGGCGAACGGGUGAGUAAUGCAUCGGAACGUACCUUUCAGUGGGGGAUAACGUAGCGAAAGUUACGCUAAUACCGCAUAUUCUGUGAGCAGGAAAGCAGGGGAUCGCAAGACCUUGCGCUGAUUGAGCGGCCGAUGUCUGAUUAGCUAGUUGGUGAGGUAAAGGCUCACCAAGGCGACGAUCUGUAGCGGGUCUGAGAGGAUGAUCCGCCACACUGGAACUGAGACACGGUCCAGACUCCUACGGGAGGCAGCAGUGGGGAAUUUUGGGCAAUGGGGGCAACCCUGAUCCAGCCAUGCCGCGUGAGUGAAGAAGGCCUUCGGGUUGUAAAGCUCUUUCGGCCGGGAAGAAAUCGCACGGGCUAAUACCCUAUGUGGAUGACGGUACCGGAAUAAGAAGCACCGGCUAACUACGUGCCAGCCGCCGCCGUAACAC